AACGCGAAGAACCUUACCUGGGCUUGACAUGUUCCCGACGGCCGUAGAGAUACGGCCUCCCUUCGGGGCGGGUUCACAGGUGGUGCAUGGUCGUCGUCAGCUCGUGUCGUGAGAUGUUGGGUUAAGUCCCGCAACGAGCGCAACCCUCGCCCUGUGUUGCCAGCACGUCAUGGUGGGAACUCACGGGGGACCGCCGGGGUCAACUCGGAGGAAGGUGGGGAUGACGUCAGAUCAUCAUGCCCCUUACGUCCAGGGCUUCACGCAUGCUACAAUGGCCGGUACAGCGGGAUGCGACAUGGCGACAUGGAGCGGAUCCCUGAAAACCGGUCUCAGUUCGGAUUGGAGUCUGCAACCCGACUCCAUGAAGGCGGAGUCGCUAGUAAUCGC
rnacentral:rRNA from 1 species